rnacentral:rRNA from 1 species
UGGGGAAUUUUGGACAAUGGGGGCAACCCUGAUCCAGCAAUGCCGCGUGUGUGAAGAAGGCCUUCGGGUUGUAAAGCACUUUUGUCCGGAAAGAAAUCCGCCGAGUUAAUACCUUGGCGGGAUGACGGUACCGGAAGAAUAAGCACCGGCUAACUACGUGCCAGCAGCCGCGGUAAUACGUAGGGUGCAAGCGUUAAUCGGAAUUACUGGGCGUUAAGCGUGCGCAGGCGGUUGUGCAAGACAGAUGUGAAAUCCCCGGGCUUAACCUGGGAACUGCAUUUGUGACUGCACGGCUAGAGUGUGUCAGAGGGGGGUAGAAUUCCACGUGUAGCAGUGAAAUGCGUAGAUAUGUGGAGGAAUACCGAUGGCGAAGGCAGCCCCCUGGGAUAACACUGACGCUCAUGCACGAAAGCGUGGGGAGCAAACAG